rnacentral:rRNA from 1 species
AGUGAACGCUGGCGGUAGGCCUAACACAUGCAAGUCGAACGGCAGCACAGGAGAGCUUGCUCUCUAGGUGGCGAGUGGCGGACGGGUGAGGAAUACAUCGGAAUCUGCCCAGUCGUGGGGGAUAACGUAGGGAAACUUACGCUAAUACCGCAUACGACCUUCGGGUGAAAGAGGGGGAUCGCAGGACCUCUCGCGAUUGGAUGAGCCGAUGUCGGAUUAGCUAGUUAGCGGGGUAAUGGCCCACCAAGGCGACGAUCCGUAGCUGGUCUGAGGGGAUGAUCAGCCACACUGGAACUGAGACACGGUCCAGACUCCUACGGGAGGCAGCAGUGGGGAAUAUUGGACAAUGGGCGCAAGCCUGAUCCAGCCAUACCGCGUGGGUGAAGAAGGCCUUCGGGUUGUAAAGCCCUUUUGUUGGGAAAGAAAUCUUUCAGGCUAAUACCCUGGGAGGAUGACGGUACCCAAAGAAUAAGCACCGGCUAACUUCGUG